rnacentral:rRNA from 1 species
ACCCGCACAAGCAGCGGAGCAUGUGGUUUAAUUCGAAGCAACGCGAAGAACCUUUACCAGAUCUUGACAUCCAAUUGACCAUCUUUUAAUCGAGAUUUUGCCUUCGGGUACAAUUGAGACAGGUGGUGCAUGGUUGUCGUCAGCUCGUGUCGUGAGAUGUUGGGUUAAGUCCCGCAACGAGCGCAACCCUUGUGUUUAGUUGCAAACAGGUCAAGCUGUGCACUCUAGACAGACUGCCGUGGACAACACGGAGGAAGGUGGGGAUGACGUCAAAUCAUCAUGCCCCUUAUGAUCUGGGCUACACACGUGCUACAAUGGCCGGUACAACGGGCAGCGAAGGAGCGAUCCGGAGCGAAUCCUAAAAAGCCGGUCCCAGUUCGGAUUGCAGGCUGAAACUCGCCUACAUGAAGUCGGAGUUGCUAGUAAUCGCGAAUCAGAAUGUCGCGGUGAAUGCGUUCCCGGGUCUU